rnacentral:lncRNA from 1 species
UGGGGGAACUAUUCCUUUAAAUAAACCAGUGUGUGAUACUAUGGUAAAAUGCGUUAAGUAAUUUCCUGUGCAGUCCAGGAACACCUCCCUUGGUUACUGGAAACAUUCCGGCCGGGUUUGGUGCUCUAUGAUUCUGGAGUGGAUCCACACUGGGAGGAUGAACUUGGAAGACUUCAUCUCACAGAUGAAGGACUUUACCAGAGGGAUCUUUAUGUUCUUCAGACAGUCAUUAAAAGGGGCAUUCCUGUGGCUACUGUCAUUGGAGGAGGCUAUUCCAGAGAUAUUGAUCGACUGGCGCGCAGGCACUCAAUAAUUCACAGAGCUGCAUCAAAGGUUUGGAGAGAACAUGGACUUUAACUCCGAGAUGAAAAUGGACAGCAGGUGCUAAACAAUCUAAGAUUGGUGGGACCAUAUGAACGUUCCGCAGUGCCAUUGUAUGCAAUAGAUUUUAUGAAUAAAAAUGCCGUAUUUAUUCAAGCGAUCCUUUCAAUUCUUACUCUUUUAAUAAUGUUUUUUUUUCAUUAUUAUUAUUAUUAUUU